CGAUGUAACAAGUUUAUUUAGCAACCCCCCGAAAAGGCAUAAGCUCUUACGGUGAUUUCUGAAGACGAAAGGGAACAGAAAUAAAAGUCUGGAAACAUCA